rnacentral:rRNA from 1 species
UUCUUCCUACGGGGCGCAGCAGUGGGGAAUAUUGCACAAUGGGGGAAACCCUGAUGCAGCGACGCCGCGUGAGUGAAGAAGUAAUUCGUUAUGUAAAGCUCUAUCAGCAGGGAAGAAAAUGACGGUACCUGAGUAAGAAGCCCCGGCUAACUACGUGCCAGCAGCCGCGGUAAUACGUAGGUGGCAAGCGUUAUCCGGAUUUAUUGGGUGUAAAGGGCGUGUAGGCGGGAGCGCAAGUCAGAUGUGAAAACUCAGGGCUCAACCCUGAGCCUGCAUUUGAAACUGUGUUUCUUGAGUGCUGGAGG